GAGCACUGUUUCGGCAAGGGGGUCAUCCCGACUUACCAACCCGAUGCAAACUGCGAAUACCGGAGAAUGUUAUCACGGGAGACACACGGCGGGUGCUAACGUCCGUCGUGAAGAGGGAAACAACCCAGACCGCCAGCUAAGGUCCCAAAGUCAUGGUUAAGUGGGAAACGAUGUGGGAAGGCCCAGACAGCCAGGAUGUUGGCUUAGAAGCAGCCAUCAUUUAAAGAAAGCGUAAUAGCUCACUGGUCGAGUCGGCCUGCGCGGAAGAUGUAACGGGGCUAAACCAUGCACCGAAGCUGCGGCAGCGACGCUGAUGCGUUGUUGGGUA
rnacentral:rRNA from 1 species